UCGAAGCCUCACAAGCAGCGUGACCCUGUGAAUUUGUUUGAAUACUCAGGGGUGGCUAGAGGUGUUCUGCAUCUCGGUCCCCCUCGUGUCGGGAGGUGCCCCACCUUGUGUGGUCUCCUCCUGGCCCAAUAACAAAACCCCGGCGCCGAACGCGCCAAGGAAAAUGAAAUCGUUUAGUACGCCCCUGUCGGCCCGGAGACGGUGCACGUGCGGGCGGUGUUGCGACACGUAUAUCCUAA
rnacentral:rRNA from 1 species